rnacentral:rRNA from 1 species
UACGUAGGGUGCAGGCGUUAAUCGGAAUUACUGGGCGUAAAGCGUGCGCAGGCGGUUUGCUAAGACAGGUGUGAAAUCCCCGGGCUUAACCUGGGAAUUGCGCUUGUAACUGGCAAGCUAGAGUGUGGCAGAGGGGGGUGGAAUUCCACGUGUAGCAGUGAAAUGCGUAGAUAUGUGGAGGAACACCAAUGGCGAAGGCAGCCCCUCGGGUCGGAUACUGACGCUCAUGCACGAAAGCGUGGGUAGCAAAC